rnacentral:rRNA from 1 species
GACGAACGCUGGCGGCGUGCUUAACACAUGCAAGUCGAACGAAGUGGCGAACGGGUGAGUAACGCGUAAUCAACCUGCCCUUCAGAGGGGGCCAACAGUUGGAAAAGACUGCUAAUACAGCAUACAGAAGGCGGGGCUUGCGUCUGAUUAGCGAGUUGGAGGGGGAACGGCCCACCAAGGCGAUGAUCAGUAGCCGGUCUGGUGGGUUGAACGGCCACAUUGUGACUGAGACACUGCCCAGACUCCUACGGUAGGCAGCAGUGGGGAAUCUUCCGCAAUGGACGAAAGUCUGACGGAGCAACGCCGCGUGAGUGAUGACGGCCUUCGGGUUGUAAAGCUCUGUUAAUCGGGACGCGGUACCGGAAUAGAAAGCCACGGCUAACUACGUGCCAGCAGCCGCGGUAAUUC